rnacentral:rRNA from 1 species
GAUGAACGCUAGCGGCAGGCCUAAUACAUGCAAGUCGGACGGGAUUUGGGAGCUUGCUCCUAAUGAGAGUGGCGCACGGGUGCGUAACACGUAUGUAACCUACCUUAAUCAGGGGGAUAGCCUCUCGAAAGAGAGAUUGACACCGCAUAAUAUAUUUUUAUGGCAUCGUAGAAAUAUCAAAUAUUUAUAGGAUUAAGAUGGGCAUGCGGAACAUUAGCUAGUUGGUAAGGUAACGGCUUACCAAGGCUACGAUGUUUAGGGGAUCUGAGAGGAUGACCCCCCACACUGGUACUGAGACACGGACCAGACUCCUACGGGAGGCAGCAGUAAGGAAUAUUGGUCAAUGGGCGCAAGCCUGAACCAGCCAUGCCGCGUGCAGGAAGACGGCCCUAUGGGUUGUAAACUGCUUUUGUACCGGAAUAAACCCUUUUACGUGUAGAAGGCUGAAUGUACGGUAAGAAUAAGGAUCGGCUAACUCCGUGCCAGCCGCCGCUGUAAUAC